rnacentral:rRNA from 1 species
CCUACGGGAGGCAGCAGUAGGGAAUAUUGCUCAAUGGGGGAAACCCUGAAGCAGCAACGCCGCGUGGAGGAUGAAGGUUUUCGGAGUGUAAACUCCUUUUGUUAGAGAAGAUAAUGACGGUAUCUAACGAAUAAGCACCGGCUAACUCCGUGCCAGCAGCCGCGGUAAUACGGAGGGUGCAAGCGUUACUCGGAAUCACUGGGCGUAAAGAGCGCGUAGGCGGGACAGCAAGUCAGAUGUGAAAUCCUAGGGCUUAACCAUAGAACUGCAUUUGAUACUGUUAGUCUAGAGUAUGGGAGCGGUAGGCGGAAUGUUUGGUGUAGCGGUGAAAUCCGUAGAGAUCAUGAGGAACACUCAUUGCGAAGGCGACCUACUAGAACAUAACUGACGUUGAUGCGCGAAAGCGUGGGGAGCAAACAGGAUUAGAUACCCUAGUAGUC